UAUCGAUCAGAUGUUGACAUGUGU
rnacentral:siRNA from 1 species